CAACUAAAUAUCAUUAGAUUCUUUCUUAAUUAUAUUUUCAUAGUAUACUCACUUUACUUUACAAAUCUUAGUAUUUCACUCUAUAAUUUUGGUCAAACGUGAAAAUACUUUGACUCUCCAAGAUUCUUGGAGUGACUUACAAUUUGGGAUGGAGGGAGUAUAAAUUUAUAAUAUUCACUAAAAUAAAUAGAAAAGAAAAAAAAGAAAGGGAUCCAAAAAUAAAUGUAUCAGUCACUAAAUUACAAGUAACUUUUGACACGCACCUGUAAAGAAGCAGCGACAAGGGCUAGAGGUCCGUUUUUGGUGCGAGAUUAACUGAACAGGAAGUGUGUCUAAAAAUAGCAUAUAUCGAUGCCAAACUGGGUGCAACAGUAGAAGGUCGCACUCAACUAUCCUAGAAGAUGCUCCGUAUGUUGCUGUGGAGAUUGUAAAAAAAUUAAAAUAAAAUUUAGAUAUGACAUUGAUAACUUGUACUAGGAGAUUAAAAGUUAGUGUCAUGACAUGUCUAUUAGUGAAAGAUAAUAUGGAUAGUUAGUGUAACAUGAUGCGAAUGUCUUGCAUGUUGAGAUAGAACUUGAGAUGAUGCUGAUAGCUUGCAUUAAAAGGAUGAAAGUUAGUGGCAUGACAUGGCUAUUAGUGAAAGAUGACGUGGAUGUAUUACAUGUCGAGAUAGAACUUGAGACGACGUGAAUAGUUUUCAUUGAGAGGUUGAAAGUUAGUGGUACGGCAACGUUGGAAAGUUAGUGGCAUGACAUGGCUACUAGUGGAAGAUGAUGUAGAUGUCUUGCAUGUUGAGAUAGAACUUCAGAUGACGUGGAUAACUUGUAUCAAGAGGUUGGAAGUUAGUGACAUGAUAUGGUUGUUAGUGGAAGAUGAUGUGGAUGUCUUGCAUAUUGAAAUAGAACUUAACAUGACGUGGAUAACUUGUAUUAAGAGGGUGGAAGUUAGUGGUAUGACAUAGCUAUCAGUGGAAGAUGAUGUGGAUGUCUUGUGUAAGGUUGGAAGUUAGUGGUAUGACAUGGCUAUU
rnacentral:lncRNA from 1 species